UACGGGGGGAGCAAGCGUUGUUCGGAUUUACUGGGCGUAAAGGGCGCGUAGGCGGCCACGACAAGUCAGUUGUGAAAUCUCUGGGCUUAACUCAGAACGGUCAACUGAUACUGUGCGGCUAGAGUGCAGAAGGGGCAACUGGAAUUCUCGGUGUAGCGGUGAAAUGCGUAGAUAUCGAGAGGAACACCUGCGGCGAAGGCGGGUUGCUGGGCUGACACUGACGCUGAGGCGCGAAAGCUAGGGGAGCGAACGGG
rnacentral:rRNA from 1 species